rnacentral:rRNA from 1 species
AUGAGUUCCUGUCUCUCUCACAUUAUUAGAGAUCAUUCCCUGGACUUUAAUGGUCUACAAGAGACUCACAAAAAAAGUUAUAUGGAUAGCUUCUUUAGAAAAAUUGACCCAUACCAGACAUAUGAAUGGAAUUUUGUUCCAUCUAUAGGCAGAUCUGGGGGAAUCCUGUGUGGUGUGAGAAAAGAAAGGUUUGAGGGAGUAGUAUGGAAAAAGGGCAGGUUUUUCCUGCAAGCUUCUUUCUUUGAUAAUAAAGAAAAAAAGAAGUGGACACUUUGCACUGUAUAUGGUGCUGCACAUGAUAAAGAUAAGGAUGAUUUUUUAACUGAACUUUCUAAGUUCUGCAGUCAUAUAUCAUCCCCUUUGCUUAUUGGGGGAGCCUUUAAUAUUCUUAGGCAUGCUGGGGAAAAAAAACCAUGGCAACAUUCCACUUACUCUGAUUUGUUUAACUCAGUGAUCAAUGCUAUGUGUUUGAGUGAGGUUUAUAUGAGUGGGGGGAUGUACACAUGGACCAAUGGCCAAUCUCAUCCAACUCUGGAAAAGUUAGAUCGUGUCCUUAUGAGUAGUGACUGGGAGGACAUUUUCCCGCAAGUUAACAUUAGGAAAUUGGUCAGAGAUGUUUCAGAUCAUAAUGCCCUCUUGUUGUCCUCUGACAACCAUGUUGUUAGAUCUCCACAGACAAGAGAGUUUAGGUUUGAAUUAAGUUGGUUGAAAUCAGAUGAGUUUCUUCCCUUAGUGGAGAAAAUCUGGAAUCAGUAUGUGAAAGCUACUGACCCAAUUGAUAUUCUAAAUAUCAAAUUGAAACGGUUCAAAUUUUUUUAA